UUAAAGUCUUUAAAACUCUUGUAAAUCAUGUUUUACCCUUUUAUAAGCUUUUAAAAUCCUUGUAAAUCAUUCUAUACUACUUACUUAUCCUUUAAAAACGAUUGUAAACCAUGCAAACCCUUUUUAAAAUCCCUUGUAAAUCAUUAUUUGACACUUACUUAUGCUUUAAAAACGAUUGUAAAUCAUGUUAACCACUUUUAAAAUCUCUUGUAAAUCAUUCAAUGCCACUUACUUAUGCUUUAAAACGAUUGUAAACCAUACAAACACUUUUAAAAUCCCUUGUAAAUAAUUCUAUGCCACUUACUUAUGCUUUAAAAACGAUUAUAAAUUAUGUUUUACCCUUUUAUAAGCUUUUAAAAUCCCUUGUAAAUCAUUCCAAUGCCACUUACUUAUGCUUAAAAAAACAUUGUAAACCAUGCUAACCCUUUUUAAAAAUCCUUGUAAAUCAUUCUAUGCCACUUACUUAUGCUUUAAAAACGAUUGUAAAUCAUGUUUUACCCUUUUAUAAGCUUUUAAAAUCCCUUGUAAAUCAUUCAAUGCCUCUUACUUAUGCUUAAAAAACGAUUGUAAAUCUUUUAAAACUAUUGUAAAAAGUUUUAAAAUGAUUUACAAAGGUUAGAAAAGGGUUUUAAAGUAUUUACCUAUGUUUUUAAAGACUUUUAUUUUAAGAGCUUUUAAAAUGAUUUACAAGGGUUUUUAGCAACUACCAAAGCUUUUAAAAAACUUUACAAGGUUUUUUGAAAGAGUUUUUU
rnacentral:sRNA from 1 species